GCCCUACGGGGCGCCGCAGUGGGGGAUAUUGCACAAUGGGGGAAACCCUGCUGCAGCGACGCCGCGUGAGUGAAGAAGUAUUUCGGUAUGUAAAGCUCUAUCCGCAGGGAAGAAAAAAGACGGUACCUGACUAAGAAGCCCCGGCUAACUACGUGCCAGCAGCCGCGGCAAUACGUAGGGGGCAAGCGUUAUCCGGAUUUACUGGGUGUAAAGGGAGCGUAGACGGCAAUACAAGUCGGAAGUGAUAUACCCGGGCUCAACCUGGGAACUGCUUUGGCAACUGUCUGGCUAGCGUGCUGGAGAGG
rnacentral:rRNA from 1 species